GUUGGUGUUCUCCAUGCCAAGAUUCAUAGGUGAUUCUGGAGGCAAGAUCUAAACUGCUUUCAGAAAGCCCUACCUGGUUUACCCACUGAAGGCUAAGCUCCCAUUUUGUUUAUGCCUAGUUCCUAUUUGUACAGUAUGCCAAGCCUUGCUAAUCUAGAGACUACACAGCUUCUAAAAACAAGGGCAGUUAUCACACACCUCAAUCAACGAGAGUCAAUUUUGUUUAACCAUUGCUUUUAAAAAUAUUUUCUCCCCCUCUCCCUCUCCCUUGGACCAGGCCAAGAAGUGUGAGGAGGAAGAGUGCAUGUCACCCACACUAUGGCUCUUUUCAUUUGUGUGUGAAGACCCCCAGGAGCU